AUGAGCUGCACACAGUUUGCCUUCCCCUGUUUUUAUUGGAAAGCAGUGCUGGAGACAAAAGUGCAGAGCUUGGGUCGGGCACGAAUUCUACAGGCAGGGAAUGUGGCCCGGCAGUGUCUGACCCUCAGCAGGGACAAGGCACAGCAGCAGCCGAGGGGAUUCCUCUGCCACCGUGCAGGAGCCAGGACUCUGGAUCCGGGCUGGACACGGCAAAGUUCCCGUGUUUGCACAGACUCAGGGGCUGCCCCCGGAGCGAGCGGGGCUCGGCCGUGGGGAGCGUGGGGAGAGCGGGGAACGGACACUCGGACACGCGGACACGCGGACACUCGGACACAUGGACAAACGGCCCCGCCGCUUCAGUUGCAGCGGCAGCGGCGGCAGCGGCGGCAGCGAAAUCGCAAGCGACUCUACACUCUCCGUUUCUUGCUCUUGCUCCUCCUCUCCCUCUAUUCCGCACCUUCUCCCCGCCUCCCCUUCCCGGUGUCCCCCUCCUCUCUCGGUGUCCCUUUCCCGGUGGCCCCCUCCUUUCCCGGUGUCCCCGUCCUCUCCCGGACUCUCCCCCUCCCCCUGCCGGGCCGGGCCAUGCCCCAGGCCCGCCCCCGGCCCCGGGCGGGGCCGCCCCCUCCCCGGCCCCGGGCGUCCCGCCGCGGUCUGGCCUCCGCCCGGCUCUCGCCGUCCUGGCUGUGGCGCUGCCGGGCGGGCAUCAGUGCCCGGGGCUGGGGCGGCAUCUCCACCCUUUGGCUCCGCCUGUCCCGAGCCCGGCCCCGGCCCCGACGCGGGGUCCCGAGCCCGGCCCUGGCUCCGGCCUCGGCUCCGGCCCCGGCUCCUCCCGGGGCCCGCGGAGGACACACGGGGCGCGGCCGCUCCCGCCGCCUCCGCUGCGGCUUCCCCGGCCCGAGCUCCGCCGCUCGGCAGCGCGGCCGCCGGCCCCGAGCCGCCGGUGUCCCGUUCGGAUGGGGAUGCCCGGGCCGGGGCGGUCGGGGGCCGUGUCUGGCCCCGGGCCGAGCGCUGACGGCCGCGUGUCGCCCGCAGGCAAGGCGCAGGAGGCCCUGCAGGAGCGGUACCGGCUGGGUUCGCUGCUGGGCAGCGGCGGCUUCGGCAGCGUCUUCUCGGGCACGCGGCUCGCGGACGGCGCCCCGCCCGACGGCGCCCGUGCGCCCCUGGAGAUCGUGCUGCUGGACAAGGUGUCCACUGGGUUCUGUGGUGUCAUCCGGCUCCUGGAGUGGGUUGAGCUGCCCAGCAGCUUCUUGCUGGUGCUGGAGCGUCCGGAGCGGUGUCAGGACCUGUCGGGUUUGCUGGCGGAGCGGAGGUUCGUGCCCGAGGAGGAGGCGCGGGGGCUGUUCGGCCAGGUGCUGGAGGCCGUGCGGCACUGCACCAGCUGCGGGGUCCUGCACCGGGACAUCAAGCCCGAGAACAUCCUGCUCGACCUGGCCACCGGGCAGCUGA
rnacentral:lncRNA from 1 species